rnacentral:rRNA from 1 species
AGAGUUUGAUCCUGGCUCAGGACGAACGCUGGCGGCGUGCUUAACACAUGCAAGUCGAACGAAAAGAGGGAAAGAGCUUGCUCUUUCCGGAAUUGAGUGGCAAACGGGUGAGUAACACGUAAACAACCUGCCUUCAGGAUGGGGACAACAGACGGAAACGACUGCUAAUACCGAAUAAGUUCCAAGGGCCGCAUGGCCCAUGGAAGAAAAGGUGGCCUCUACCUGUAAGCUAUCGCCUGAAGAGGGGUUUGCGUCUGAUUAGCUGGUUGGAGGGGUAACGGCCCACCAAGGCGACGAUCAGUAGCCGGUCUGAGAGGAUGAACGGCCACACUGGAACUGAGACACGGUCCAGACUCCUACGGGAGGCAGCAGUGGGGAAUCUUCCGCAAUGGGCGAAAGCCUGACGGAGCAACGCCGCGUGAGUGAUGACGGCCUUCGGGUUGUAAAACUCUGUGAUCCGGGACGAAAAGGCAGAGUGCGAAGAACAAACUGCAUUGACGGUACCGGAAAAGCAAGCCACGGCUAACUACGUGCCAGCAGCCGCGGUAAUACGUAGGUGGCAAGCGUUGUCCGGAAUUACUGGGUGUAAAGGGAGCGCAGGCGGGUGAUCAAGUCAGCUGUGAAAACUACGGGCUUAACCCGUAGACUGCAGUUGAAACUGUUCAUCUUGAGUGAAGUAGAGGUUGGCGGAAUUCCGAGUGUAGCGGUGAAAUGCGUAGAUAUUCGGAGGAACACCGGUGGCGAAGGCGGCCAACUGGGCUUUAACUGACGCUGAGGCUCGAAAGUGUGGGGAGCAAACAGGAUUAGAUACCCUGGUAGUCCACACUGUAAACGAUGAUUGCUAGGUGUGGGGGGUCUGACCCCUUCCGUGCCGGAGCUAACGCAAUAAGCAAUCCACCUGGGGAGUACGACCGCAAGGUUGAAACUCAAAGGAAUUGACGGGGACCCGCACAAGCAGUGGAUUAUGUGGUUUAAUUCGAAGCAACGCGAAGAACCUUACCAGCACUUGACAUCCAACUAACGAAAUAGAGAUAUAUUAGGUGCCCUUCGGGGAAAGUUGAGACAGGUGGUGCAUGGUUGUCGUCAGCUCGUGUCGUGAGAUGUUGGGUUAAGU